GAUGAACGCUGACGGCGUGCCUAAUACAUGCAAGUCGAGCGAACGGACGAGAAGCUUGCUUCUCUGAUGUUAGCGGCGGACGGGUGAGUAACACGUGGAUAACCUACCUAUAAGACUUGGAUAACUUCGGGAAACCGGAGCUAAUACCGGAUAAUAUUUUGAACCGCUUGGAUCAAAAGUGAAAGACGGUCUUGCUGUCACUUAUAGAUGGAUCCGCGCUGCAUUAUCUAGUUGGUAAGGUAACGGCCUACCAAGGCAACGAUGCAUAGCCGACCUGAGAGGGUGAUCGGCCACACUGGAACUGAGACACGGUCCAGACUCCUACGGGAGGCAGCAGUAGGGAAUCUUCCGCAAUGGGCGAAAGCCUGACGGAGCAACGCCGCGUGAGUGAUGAAGGUCUUCGGAUCGUAAAACUCUGUUAUUAGGGAAGAACAUAUGUGUAAGUAACUGUGCACAUCUUGACGGUACCUAAUCAGAAAGCCACGGCUAACUACGUG
rnacentral:rRNA from 1 species